UUGUAAUGAUGACUUCUUAGGACACCUUUGGAUUAAUGAUGAAAAUAACUUGUUUUUUUUCUGAACAAC